rnacentral:rRNA from 1 species
AGAACGAACGCUGGCGGCAUGCCUAACACAUGCAAGUCGAACGAGACCUUCGGGUCUAGUGGCGCACGGGUGCGUAACGCGUGGGAAUCUGCCCUUGGGUUCGGAAUAACAGCGAGAAAUUGCUGCUAAUACCGGAUGAUGACGUAAGUCCAAAGAUUUAUCGCCCAAGGAUGAGCCCGCGUAGGAUUAGCUUGUUGGUGAGGUAAGAGCUCACCAAGGCGACGAUCCUUAACUGGUCUGAGAGGAUGAUCAGCCACACUGGGACUGAGACACGGCCCAGACUCCUACGGGAGGCAGCAGUGGGGAAUAUUGGACAAUGGGCGAAAGCCUGAUCCAGCAAUGCCGCGUGAGUGAUGAAGGCCUUAGGGUUGUAAAGCUCUUUACCCGGAUGAUAAUGACAGUACCGGAGAAUAAGCUCCGGCUUAACGUCCGUGCCAGCAGCCGC